rnacentral:rRNA from 1 species
GACAGAGGCCUCGAGCGUUAGGCGGAAUCACUGGGCUUAAAGCGUGUGUAGGCGGAUCGUUAAGUGCCUUGUGAAAUCCCACGGCUUAACUGUGGAACGGCUGGGCAUACUGGCGGUCUUGAGCCAUCUAGGGGCGACUGGAACAAACGGUGGAGCGGUGAAAUGCGUAGAGAUGUGGAGGAACACCGAUGGCGAAGGCAGCCCCCCUGGGUCAAGAUUGACGCUCAUGCACGAAAGCGUGGGGAGCAAACAGG